rnacentral:rRNA from 1 species
UACGGAGGGCGCAAGCGUUGUUCGGAAUUACUGGGCGUAAAGCGCGUGUAGGCGGUCUGGUAAGUCGGUUGUGAAAUCCCCGGGCUCAACCCGGGAACUGCAUCCGAAACUGCUGGGCUAGAGUUCCGGAGAGGAAGGCAGAAUUCCCAAUGUAGGGGUGAAAUCCGUAGAUAUUGGGAGGAAUACCAGUGGCGAAGGCGGCCUUCGGGACGGUGACUGACGUUGAGACGCGAAAGCGUGGGGAGCAAACAGG